rnacentral:rRNA from 1 species
AUUGAACGCUGGCGGCAGGCCUAACACAUGCAAGUCGAACGGGUGGCGGACGGGUGAGUAAUGUCUGGGAAACUGCCUGAUGGAGGGAGAUCACUACUGGAAACGGUAGCUAAUACCGCAUACCAUCAGAUGGGCCCAGAUGGGAUUAGCUAGUUGGUGGGGUAACGGCUCACCAAGGCGACGAUCCCUAGCUGGUCUGAGAGGAUGACCAGCCACACUGGAACUGAGACACGGUCCAGACUCCUACGGGAGGCAGCAGUGGGGAAUAUUGCACAAUGGGCGAAAGCCUGAUGGAGCCAUGCCGCGUGUAUGAAGAAGGCCUUCGGGUUGUAAAGUACUUUCAGUGGGGAGGCGUUACCUGAAGAAGAAGCAACGGCUAACUCCGUGCCAGCAGCCGCGGUAAUAC